rnacentral:misc_RNA from 1 species
GAUGAAGAACGCAGCGAAAUGCGAUAAGUAAUGUGAAUUGCAGAAUUCAGUGAAUCAUCGAAUCUUUGAACGCACAUUGCGCCCGCCAGUAUUCUGGCGGGCAUGCCUGUCUGAGCGUCAUUUCAACCCUCAUGCCCCUAGGGCGUGGUGUUGGGGAUCGGCCAAAGCCCGCGAGGGACGGCCGGCCCCUAAAUCAAGUGGCGGACCCGUCGUGGCCUCCUCUGCGAAGUAGUGAUAUUCCGCAUCGGAGAGCGAUGAGCCCCUGCCGUUAAACCCCCAACUUUCCAAGGUUGACCUCAGAUCAGGUAGGAAUACCCGCUGAACUUAAGCAUAUCAAUAAGCGGAGGA